rnacentral:rRNA from 2 species
ACCCGCUGAACUUAAGC